AUCAGACUGAUGGCCUCACCACCCAGUGUAUGGCAAACAACGAGGAAGAUAACAUGAUGCCAGACCACAUAGCAUCAGCCUUGGGGAGGGGCGACUGAAACGUCGGUCUACACACAGCCGCCAGCCACUGGAACAGCGUUUCCCAGUCUGGCUCCCUGCCAGACAGUCCAGAACAUGGACAAAAACAUGGACCGUCUGGGGGUUCGCAGGGACCGGAUCAGAAACACUUCUCUGGACGAUCCUGCAUUGAGAUGUUCUGGAAUUUCAGGGACACCAUUACUUUCAAAAUUUAUUUGCUGCCCAACAGUGGAUUUUUUUGCCGCUGUGCUUUUCCUAAGAUUCAUUUGCUGGCUAAAACGUUCUAUAAUAAUCCUUUAUCAUUUCAUGAGGCAUGAAAAUGAACAAAAAACAAGAAGAUCAUAGUAAUUUUGUAUUGUGCAGAAAAGGUUACUGAUAUGUCACUUCCGCAAUAAUUUGGAACCCCUUGUAUUUGUAUUGCGGGGGGAUCAAGAGCGAAAU